rnacentral:rRNA from 1 species
CCUACGGGAGGCAGCAGUGGGGAAUAUUGCACAAUGGGGGAAACCCUGAUGCAGCAACGCAGCGUGAAGGAAGACGGCCUUCGGAUUGUAAACUUCUGUUCUUAGUGAAGAAAAAUGACGGUAGCGAAGGAGCAAGCCACGGCUAACUACGUGCCAGCAGCCGCGGUAAUACGUAGGGGGCAAGCGUUGUUCGGAAUGACUGGGUGUAAAGGGAGCGCAGGCGGGAAGCCAAGUCAGCUGUGAAAACUACGGGCUUAACUUGGAGACUGCAGUUGAAACUGGUUUUCUUGAGUGAAGUAGAGGUUGGCGGAAUUCCGGGUGUAGCGGUGAAAUGCGUAGAUAUCUGGAGGAACACCGGUGGCGAAGGCGGCCGACUGGGGUUUAACUGACGCUGAGGCUCGAAAGUGUGGGUAGCAAACAGGAUUAGAUACCCGUGUAGUC